rnacentral:misc_RNA from 1 species
UUCGUUUAACUCAUAUUAUAGUAUAUGCAAGGCAAGCAAGUGAUUAUCAUGCAAACGCAGUGGUCGACAGUCAUCAUGUCCAAACUACCUUUAUUCUUGGCUUUUUUGUUAGUCAGUUUUACGACUUUCCUUCCCUCAGCCAACGCAGCUAGAUAUCUGUCCUGUCCAAAUGGAUGGCUAACAUACGAAGGCUCAAGGUCCUGUUAUCGUCUUGGAGGAACAUCAAAGAAGUUGAUUGAGGCACGAAAAGCAUGUUUUGCAAUGGGAGGGGAUCUUGUGAAAAUCAACUCUGCACAAGAGAACAACUAUGUGGCGCUUCUUGCACGUACAAUUCCGAAAAACAAAAGCUACCUUUGGAUAGGACUCGUUGCAG